UUGGCGGCGUACAUUGUUCUUUUCCAACACGCGUCUGCCUUCAAAACUCAAAGUAUACGACAGAACUGGUAGUCCAACAUAGUUAGGAGGACAACAGAGAUAAUAUCCUAAAAUAACACGCUGGCAACCCAUAAAUAAAGUAUCGUUUAACAAUUGCUACUAUCAUUUUUUUUUUUUUCAUUGAAUAUUUUUUUACAAAAAAAAUUUUUAAUGGAUAUUUCUACGUAAAAAUAGUUGCUUGGAGAAUCAACAUUAUCUAACCAAACUAACCUGCAUUUCCCAUUUUGAAAUUUGACCACACAAAGUGGAACAAGACUGCACCUGUCCCGCAUUGUUCUCACAUUUGUAAUCUCCUGCAAAUAAAGCUAAUGAAGUUGACCUAAAUAACCUAAACUAAAUAAUCAUAACUUAAACUAACCUAUUCUUAUAACAUAUUUAAAUUGAACUCUCCAUUUUUGGUUCACCUGUUUUUAUGGAUCAGAUUCUUUGUGGCGCGGUAUCUUUUCGAAACAGUGAAAGACUAUUUUGGGAUAAACCCUGAAGCUCCACUCGACAGAAAUCAUCAUCAGAGGAUGAGGAGGAAUUUGGUAGCAAAACUGGAGUCUAGUAUUUCCACCACGUGAUGCCAGAAAAGCAAGACAAAUGGGAAGGAAAGAAAACCGAAGGGGCAAAGAGAGAGAAACAGGGAAUGGAUGAGAAACACAGAACAGGAAGACGCACAAGACUUCCAGAUACAAUCGAUGGUAGAUACCUAAUGGUUCCCACACUAGCGGAGGGAUACCUUUUAUGGAUUAACCUAACCUAACCUAACGUACCCAAUCAAUAUGGUGGAUGAGGAGGUUACAUCAGAUUGAAAAAAAAGUUUAAAAUCUGCUGACAACGAAUAUUCCUUAGUCUUUUAGUUAUUCAUGUGGUGUUUUAAAAUUGUUAUACCACAGAUAACCCCUGUUGCUCUUAAAGUGUAUAUAAAUUUGAUAUUUCCUGGAUUUUUAUAACAUGCAUGUACUGUUGGUUAAUAUUUGUGUUGCUAAUGAACUAACAAUAAACUCCAAAUACCUGACGUGUGUUAGCGGAUCUACCAAAAUAUUAUGCCGGCAAAAUCUCAAAACAAAGAAAAGAAAAGCAAACACUCUCAGUGAUUCCAUUUACUGCUUAUAUAACGUUUUAUAAAAAAUCUGAAGACAUCAUCACAUUCAGAAGACUUUGUUCUACAAUAAGAGAUAGUUUAUUUUAAUAAUUAUUGCUAAGUUAGUGAGAACUAUUGCAAUAAACUAAAAGCGUUAUAAACAAUGUAGACACGACUUUUUUCUAACUUUAACUCGUAAUUUUCCUUUUAAUUAUCUACUUGCAACAGUUUAGAUGCGAUGGUUCGAUUCAGUAACCAUUCCUGAGUGUAGCGAUGUGAAAUAAAAAGUACUAAGUAAAGUGUGAAGUGAUAUAUGACCCA